ACUAUGGCAAAUCUUAAGAGAUUAGACGUUCCCUUCGGGGCAUGGAUACAGGUGGUGCAUGGUUGUCGUCAGCUCGUGUCGUGAGAUGUUGGGUUAAGUCCCGCAACGAGCGCAACCCUUAUUAUCAGUUGCCAGCAUUAAGUUGGGCACUCUGGUGAGACUGCCGGUGACAAACCGGAGGAAGGUGGGGAUGACGUCAAAUCAUCAUGCCCCUUAUGACCUGGGCUACACACGGCUACAAUGGAUGGUACAACGAGUUGCGAACUCGCGAGAGUAAGCUAAUCUCUUAAAGCCAUUCUCAGUUCGGAUUGUAGGCUGCAACUCGCUACAUGAAGUCGGAAUCGCUAGUAAUCGCGGAUCAGCAUGCCGCGGUGAAUACGUUCCCGGGCCUAUACACACCGCCCGUCACACCAUGGAUUUUAACACCCAAACUCCGGAGAGUUUCUCCCUGCUCCAGAUCAUUG
rnacentral:rRNA from 2 species